rnacentral:rRNA from 1 species
UACGGAGGGUGCAAGCGUUAUCCGGAAUCACUGGGUUUAAAGGGUGCGUAGGCGGUUUAGUAAGUCAGAAGUGAAAGCCUGCGGCUUAACCGUAGAAUUGCUUUUGAUACUGCUGAACUUGAAUUAGGUUGAGGUUGGCGGAAUGUGACAUGUAGCGGUGAAAUGCAUAGAUAUGUCAUAGAACACCAAUUGCGAAGGCA